rnacentral:tRNA from 1 species
AGUGGACAUAGUUUAAU